CAAAGGAAUCGACGGGGCCCGCACAAGCGGUGGAGUAUGUGGUUUAAUUCGAUGCAACGCGAAGAACCUUACCUGGUCUUGACAUCCCGGAGACCCUUAGGAAACUAGGGGGUGCUUCCAUCUGGAAGAAUCUGGAGACAGGUGCUGCAUGGCUGUCGUCAGCUCGUGUCGCGAGAUGUUGGGUUAAGUCCCGCAACGAGCGCAACCCUUGCCUUUAGUUGCCAGCAGUUCGGCUGGGCACUCUAAAGGGACUGCCGGUGUUAAACCGGAGGAAGGUGGGGAUGACGUCAAGUCCUCAUGGCCUUUAUGACCAGGGCUACACACGUACUACAAUGGCCGAUACAAAGGGCAGCGACACUGCGAGGUGAAGCCAAUCCCGUAAAAUCGGUCUCAGUCCGGAUUGGAGUCUGCAACUCGACUCCGUGAAGUCGGAAUCGCUAGUAAUCGUGAAUCAGAAUGUCACGGUGAAUACGUUCCCGGGCCUU
rnacentral:rRNA from 1 species